rnacentral:rRNA from 1 species
GUUAUAUGGUCAAGUGAAGAAGCGCAUACGGUGGAUGCCUUGGCAGUCAGAGGCGAUGAAAGACGUGGUAGCCUGCGAAAAGCUUCGGGGAGUCGGCAAACAGACUGUGAUCCGGAGAUGUCUGAAUGGGGGAACCCAGCCAUCAUAAGAUGGUUAUCUUGUACUGAAUACAUAGGUGCAAGAGGCGAACCAGGGGAACUGAAACAUCUAAGUACCCUGAGGAAAAGAAAUCAACCGAGAUUCCCUUAGUAGUGGCGAGCGAACGGGGACCAGCCCUUAAGUUGUAUUGAGAUUAGCGGAACGUUCUGGAAAGGACGGCCAUAGUGGGUGAUAGCCCUGUACGCGAAAAUCCCUUUGCAAUGAAAUCGAGUAGGACGGGGCACGAGAAACCUUGUCUGAAUAUGGGGGGACCAUCCUCCAAGGCUAAAUACUACUGACUGACCGAUAGUGAACCAGUACCGUGAGGGAAAGGCGAAAAGAACCGCGGAGAGCGGAGUGAAAUAGAUCCUGAAACCGUAUGCGUACAAGCAGUGGGAGCCCACUUUGUUGGGUGACUGCGUACCUUUUGUAUAAUGGGUCAGCGACUUAUUUUCAGUGGCGAGCUUAACCGAAUAGGGGAGGCGUAGCGAAAGCGAGUCUUAAUAGGGCGUCUAGUCGCUGGGAAUAGACCCGAAACCGGGCGAUCUAUCCAUGGGCAGGUUGAAGGUUGGGUAACACUAACUGGAGGACCGAACCGACUACCGUUGAAAAGUUAGCGGAUGACCUGUGGAUCGGAGUGAAAGGCUAAUCAAGCUCGGAGAUAGCUGGUUCUCCUCGAAAGCUAUUUAGGUAGCGCCUCAUGUAUCACUGUAGGGGGUAGAGCACUGUUUCGGCUAGGGGGUCAUCCCGACUUACCAAACCGAUGCAAACUCCGAAUACCUACAAGUGCCGAGCAUGGGAGACACACGGCGGGUCUGUUUCGGCUAGGGGGUCAUCCCGACUUACCAAACCGAUGCAAACUCCGAAUACCUACAAGUGCCGAGCAUGGGAGACACACGGCGGGUGCUAACGUCCGUCGUGAAAAGGGAAACAACCCAGACCGUCAGCUAAGGUCCCAAAGUCAUGGUUAAGUGGGAAACGAUGUGGGAAGGCUUAGACAGCUAGGAGGUUGGCUUAGAAGCAGCCACCCUUUAAAGAAAGCGUAAUAGCUCACUAGUCGAGUCGGCCUGCGCGGAAGAUGUAACGGGGCUCAAACCAUGCACCGAAGCUACGGGUAUCAUCUUAGGAUGAUGCGGUAGAGGAGCGUUCUGUAAGCCUGUGAAGGUGAGUUGAGAAGCUUGCUGGAGGUAUCAGAAGUGCGAAUGCUGACAUGAGUAACGACAAUGGGUGUGAAAAACACCCACGCCGAAAGACCAAGGUUUCCUGCGCAACGUUAAUCGACGCAGGGUUAGUCGGUCCCUAAGGCGAGGCUGAAAAGCGUAGUCGAUUCCCACGCCGAAAGACCAAGGUUUCCUGCGCAACGUUAAUCGACGCAGGGUUAGUCGGUCCCUAAGGCGAGGCUGAAAAGCGUAGUCGAUGGAAAACAGGUUAAUAUUCCUGUACUUCUGGUUAUUGCGAUGGAGGGACGGAGAAGGCUAGGCCAGCCUGGCGUUGGUUGUCCAGGUUUAAGGUGGUAGGCUGAGAUCUUAGGUAAAUCCGGGAUCUCAAGGCCGAGAGCUGAUGACGAGUGUUCUUUAGAACACGAAGUGGUUGAUGCCAUGCUUCCAAGAAAAGCUUCUAAGCUUCAGGUAACCAGGAACCGUACCCCAAACCGACACAGGUGGUUGGGUAGAGAAUACCAAGGCGCUUGAGAGAACUCGGGUGAAGGAACUAGGCAAAAUGGCACCGUAACUUCGGGAGAAGGUGCGCCGGUGAGGGUGAAGCAUUUACUGCGUAAGCCCACGCCGGUCGAAGAUACCAGGCCGCUGCGACUGUUUAUUAAAAACACAGCACUCUGCAAACACGAAAGUGGACGUAUAGGGUGUGACGCCUGCCCGGUGCCGGAAGGUUAAUUGAUGGGGUUAGCGCAAGCGAAGCUCUUGAUCGAAGCCCCGGUAAACGGCGGCCGUAACUAUAACGGUCCUAAGGUAGCGAAAUUCCUUGUCGGGUAAGUUCCGACCUGCACGAAUGGCGUAACGAUGGCGGCGCUGUCUCCACCCGAGACUCAGUGAAAUUGAAAUCGCUGUGAAGAUGCAGUGUAUCCGCGGCUAGACGGAAAGACCCCGUGAACCUUUACUAUAGCUUUGCACUGGACUUUGAAUUUGCUUGUGUAGGAUAGGUGGGAGGCUUUGAAGCGUGGACGCCAGUCUGCGUGGAGCCAACCUUGAAAUACCACCCUGGCAACUUUGAGGUUCUAACUCAGGUCCGUUAUCCGGAUCGAGGACAGUGUAUGGUGGGUAGUUUGACUGGGGCGGUCUCCUCCUAAAGAGUAACGGAGGAGUACGAAGGUGCGCUCAGACCGGUCGGAAAUCGGUCGUAGAGUAUAAAGGCAAAAGCGCGCUUGACUGCGAGACAGACACGUCGAGCAGGUACGAAAGUAGGUCUUAGUGAUCCGGUGGUUCUGUAUGGAAGGGCCAUCGCUCAACGGAUAAAAGGUACUCCGGGGAUAACAGGCUGAUACCGCCCAAGAGUUCAUAUCGACGGCGGUGUUUGGCACCUCGAUGUCGGCUCAUCACAUCCUGGGGCUGAAGCCGGUCCCAAGGGUAUAACAGGCUGAUACCGCCCAAGAGUUCAUAUCGACGGCGGUGUUUGGCACCUCGAUGUCGGCUCAUCACAUCCUGGGGCUGAAGCCGGUCCCAAGGGUAUGGCUGUUCGCCAUUUAAAGUGGUACGCGAGCUGGGUUUAGAACGUCGUGAGACAGUUCGGUCCCUAUCUGCCGUGGACGUUUGAGAUUUGAGAGGGGCUGCUCCUAGUACGAGAGGACCGGAGUGGACGAACCUCUGGUGUUCCGGUUGUCACGCCAGUGGCAUUGCCGGGUAGCUAUGUUCGGAAAAGAUAACCGCUGAAAGCAUCUAAGCGGGAAACUUGCCUCAAGAUGAGAUCUCACUGGAACCUUGAGUUCCCUAGAGGGCCGUCGAAGACUACGACGUUGAUAGGUUGGGUGUGUAAGCGCUGUGAGGCGUUGAGCUAACCAAUACUAAUUGCCCGUGAGGCUUGACCAUAUAACACCCAAGCAAUU